UUGAUCCUGGCUCAGAAUCAACGCUGGCGGCGUGCCUAACACAUGCAAGUCGAACGCGAAAGGGACUUCGGUCCUGAGUAGAGUGGCGAACGGGUGAGUUACACGUGGGUGACCUACCUUCGAAUGGGGGAUAACGUCCCGAAAGGGACUCUAAUACCGCAUAACAUCCUGUCCUUGAACGGAUGGUGAUCAAAGCCGGUGAUCGCAAGACCUGGCGUUUGAAGAGGGGCCCGCGUCCGAUUAGCUAGUUGGUGAGGUAACGGCUCACCAAGGCGACGAUCGGUAACCGGCCUGAGAGGUCGGACGGUCACACUGGGACUGAGACACGGCCCAGACUCCUACGGGAGGCUGCAGUGGGGAAUUGUUCACAAUGGGCGCAAGCCUGAUGACGCAACGCCGUGUGGAGGAUGAAGGUCUUCGGAUUGUAAACUCCUGUUGCCCGGGACGAAUAGCUUCGACCUAACACGUCGAAGUCUGACGGUACCGGGUGAGGAAGCCCUGGCUAACUCUGUGCCAGCAGCCGCGGUAAUAAGGU
rnacentral:rRNA from 1 species